rfam:Streptomyces abyssalis strain SCSIO 10390 scaffold4, whole genome shotgun sequence.
CGUACUCCCCUUUACGACGGAUCGUCCGGCACGUACCUGCCGGUGAAGGAGACAACA